GUCCCCGUAGCUCAAUUGGAUAGAGCGGCGCCCUUCUAAGGCGUAGGUUGCAGGUUCGACCCUGCCGGGGAUG
rnacentral:tRNA from 1 species